rnacentral:rRNA from 1 species
UUAAAUUAAUAAGGGCGUAUGGCGAAUGCCUUGGCACUAGAAGGCGAUGAAGGACGCGACGAACAGCGAAAUGCUACGGGGAGCUGUAAGUAGCUUUGAUCCGGAGAUUUCCGAAUGGGGAAACCCACUAGUAGUAAUGUGCUAGUAUCCUAUAGUGAAUAUAUAGCUAUAGUGAAGCUAACCCGGUGAAUUGAAACAUCUUAGUAACCGGUGGAAGAGAAAGAAAAAUCGAUUCCCUUAGUAGUGGCGAGCGAAAAGGGAAAAGCCUAAACCAGUCUUAGGACUGGGGUUGUAGGACCUUAUAUACGGAGUUACCAAACAAUCAUGUAGUUGAAUUGGCUGGGAAGCCAAACGAUACAAGGUGAUAGUCCUGUAAACGAAACGUGGUUGUCUCCAUAAGGUAUCCUGAGUACAGCGGGACACGUGUAAUCUUGCUGGAAUCUACGGGGACCAUCCCGUAAGGCUAAAUACUCUCUAGUGACCGAUAGUGAACAAGUACUGUGAAGGAAAGGUGAAAAGAACCCCGGGAGGGGAGUGAAAUAGAUAUCCUGAAACCAUAUGCCUACAAGAAGUCAAAGCCCGUUAAUGGGUGAUGGCGUGCCUCUUGCAGAAUGAACCGGCGAGUUAUCAUGACAUGCGAGGUUAAGUGGAAGACACGGAGCCGAAGCGAAAGCGAGUCUUAAUAGGGCGUUUUAGUAUGUUAUGGUAGACCCGAAACCAAGUGAUCUAGCCAUGGACAGGUUGAAGUAGGGGUGAAACCCUAUGGAGGACCGAACCGUAGUACGAUGAAACGUGCACGGAUGAUCUGUGGCUAGUGGUGAAAUGCUAAUCGAACUUGGAGAUAGCUGGUUCUCCCCGAAAUAGCUUUUGGCUAGCCUUGAGAUUAGCUCCCCAGAGGUAGAGCACUGAAUGCAUAAUGGCCCCACACAGGGGUACUGAAUGUAAUCAAACUCCGAAUGCUGGGUGAGUAUGCUCAGGAGUCAGUGUAUGGGUGAUAACGUCCAUACGCGAGAGGAAAAGAAUCCAGACCGUCAGCUAAGGUCCCUAAAUUUGUACUAAGUGGGAAAGGAUGUGGAGUUGUCAAAACAGCUAGGAGGUUGGCUUAGAAGCAGCUACCCUUUAAAGAGUGCGUAAUAGCUCACUAGUCGAAUGACACUGCGCCGAAAAUGUACCGGGGCUAAGUACAAUACCGAAGCUACGGGUUAAUACUCAUGUAUUAAUGGUAGGGGAGCGUUCUAAGGGCGAUGAAGGUAGAUCGUGAGGACUACUGGAGCGCUUAGAAGUGAGAAUGCCGGUGUAAGUAACGAAAGAUGGGUGAGAAUCCCAUCCACCGAUUGCCUAAGGUUUCCUGGGGAAGGCUCGUCCUCCCAGGGUUAGUCGGGUCCUAAGGCCAGGCCGAAAGGCGUAGCCGAUGGACAACAGGUUGAUAUUCCUGUACCACCUAUACAACUGAUGGAGGGACGGAGGAGGCUAGAGAGAGCCUGUUAUUGGAUUCAGGUCUAAGCACAAAGGCUUGUAUGUAGGUAAAUCCGCAUACUUUAAGGCUGAAGUGUGAUGGUGACGGAAACUACGGUUUCUUAAAUCUCUUGACGCCACACUUCCUAGAAAAACUUCUAGGGCUAAUUGUAUAGGUGCCCGUACCGUAAACCGACACAGGUGGGCAAGGAGAAAAUCCUAAGGUGAGCGAGUGAACUAUAGCUAAGGAACUCGGCAAAAUGGCCCCGUAACUUCGGGAGAAGGGGCGGUCUAGCGAUAGACCCGCAGUGAAAAGGCCCGGGCGACUGUUUAUCAAAAACAUAGGUCUCUGCUAAGCCGCAAGGCGAUGUAUAGGGGCUGACGCCUGCCCAGUGCUGGAAGGUUAAGGGGAAGGAUUAGUUUGACGUAAGUCGAUUUUAAACGAAGUCCUAAACUGAAGCCCCAGUGAACGGCGGCAAUAACUAUAAUUGUCCUAAGGUAGCGAAAUUCCUUGUCAGGUAAGUUCUGACCCGCACGAAAGGCGCAACGACCUGGGCGCUGUCUCGGCUAUAGACUCGGUGAAAUCUUGAUACCUGUGAAAACGCAGGUUACCCGCGACAGGACGGAAAGACCCCGUGGAGCUUUACUACAACUUGAUAUUGAAACUCGGUUUAUUAUGUAGAGGAUAGGUGGGAGACUUUGAAAUUAUGACGCUAGUUGUAAUGGAGUCAACCUUGGAAUACCACCCUUAAUGAAUUGAGUUUCUAACCUGCAACCGUGAUCCGGUUGAGGAACAGUGUCUGGUGGGUAGUUUGACUGGGGCGGUCGCCUCCUAAAAAGUAACGGAGGCGCCCAAUGGUUCCCUCAGAAUGGUUGGAAAUCAUUCUAAGAGCGCAAAGGUAUAAGGGAGCUUAACUGCGAGACCUACAAGUCAAGCAGAGACGAAAGUCGGGCUUAGCGAUCAGGCGAUUCAGAAUGGAAUGGUCGUCGCUCAACGGAUAAAAGCUACCCCGGGGAUAACAGGCUGAUGCCACCCAAUAGUUCACAUAGACGGUGGUGUUUGGCACCUCGAUGUCGGCUCGUCGCAUCCUGGAGGUGAAGUCGCUUCCAAGGGUUGGGCUGUUCGUCCAUUAAAGCGGUACGCGAGCUGGGUUCAGAACGUCGUGAGACAGUUCGGUCCCUAUCCGUCGUGGGCGUAGGAAAAUUGAGGAGUGCUGUCCCUAGUACGAGAGGACUGGGAUGGACGCACCUAUGGUGUACCUGUUGUCACGCCAGUGGCAUCGCAGGGUAGCUAUGUGCGGACGGGAUAACCGCUGAAAGCAUCUAAGCGGGAAGCCCCCUCCAAGAUGAGUUUUCCCAUUUCUUUAUGAAAGUAAGAUCCCAGAGAGACUAUCUGGUUGAUAGGCUAGGAGUGGAAGCAUAGUGAUAUGUUGAGCGGACUAGUACUAAUAGAUCGAGGAUUUAACUAC